GGAUGUAAAAGUACUUUCCAGCGGGGAGGAAGGCGUUGAGGCUUAAUAACCCUCAGCCAAUGGACGUUACCCGCAGAAGAUAGCACCGGGCUAACCUCCGUGCCAGCAGCCGCCGGUAAUACGGGAGGGUGGCCAGCGUUAAUUCGGAAUUACUUGGGCGUAAAGCGCACGCAGGCGGUCUGUCAAGUCGGAUGUGAAAUUCCCCGGGCUCAACCCUGGGAACUGCAUUCGAAACUGGCAGGCUAGAGUCUUGUAGAGGGGGGUAGAAUUCCAGGUGUAGCGGUGAAAUGCGUAGAGAUCUGGAGGAAUACCGGUGGCGAAGGCGGCCCCCCUGGACAAAGACUGACGCUCAGGUGCGAAAGCGUGGGGAGCAAACAGGAUUAGAUACCCUGGUAGUCCACGCCGUAAACGAUGUCGACUUGGAGGUUGUGCCCUUUGAGGCGUGGCUUCCGGAGCUAACGCGUUAAGUCGACCGCCUGGGGAGUACGGCCGCAAGGUUAAAACUCAAAUGAAUUGACGGGGGCCCGCACAAGCGGUGGAGCAUGUGGUUUAAUUCGAUGCAACGCGAAGAACCUUACCUACUCUUGACAUCCAGAGAACUUAGCAGAGAUGCUUUGGUGCCUUCGGGAACUCUGAGACAGGUGCUGCAUGGCUGUCGUCAGCUCGUGUUGUGAAAUGUUGGGUUAAGUCCCGCAACGAGCGCAACCCUUAUCCUUUGUUGCCAGCGGUCCGGCCGGGAACUCAAAGGAGACUGCCAGUGAUAAACUGGAGGAAGGUGGGGAUGACGUCAAGUCAUCAUGGCCCUUACGAGUAGGGCUACACACGUGCUACAAUGGCGCAUACAAAGAGAAGCGACCUCGCGAGAGCAAGCGGACCUCAUAAAGUGCGUCGUAGUCCGGAUUGGAGUCUGCAACUCGACUCCAUGAAGUCGGAAUCGCUAGUAAUCGUGGAUCAGAAUGCCACGGUGAAUACGUUCCCGGGCCUUGUACACACCGCCCGUCACACCAUGGGAGUGGGUUGCAAAAGAAGUAGGUAGCUUAACCUUCGGGAGGGCGC
rnacentral:rRNA from 1 species